AGAGCACCUGGUGACCCCUGAGUCCCUGGACCUGCUGGACAAGCUGCUACGCUACGACCACCAGCAGAGACUGACCGCUGCUGAGGCCAUGCAGCAUCCAUACUUCUAUCCAGUGCUGAAUGAACAGACCAUCUCCAACACAGACACCAAGGCAAUAAGUGGAUCCAAUGCAACAUGAUGGACAGAGAGGAGGAAAACCUUUGUUACCUCAUCUUGUGACCCUUUCGUGGCAGAAACGAUCUGCCUCCAAGUCUACAGCCAUACUGGAGCAAGAAGUCAACUUGCAACACACACAACACUCUUGGAUAAAACCUAAAUCUUUCACAACGUGGGUACUAGCGUUGCUUGGCCCCAGUCACACACAAUGUAUCGGAUCCAAGCUAUGAGGUGUGAUAUUCCCUCCUAGAACUGCCCCCCGAAAUCCCUGCCCGCUCCCCACCCCACCCACCUCAACUCCCCUGUUUUCUGAAAUCCCCUGAUGUCAGAUGUGAUACAGAGACUGACUCCAGGUCAGUUUGGCACUGGUGUUGUGCUGUGAGAUGUGUGUUGGUCAGUAUGGAGCUGCACUGGCCUGGGGUCAGAGCUAUAAUAGCACUGAGUGGCAUGGAGGCUCUUUUCUGCUGUAGAUAGA